rnacentral:rRNA from 1 species
AUUGAACGCUGGCGGCAUGCUUUACACAUGCAAGUCGAACGGUAGACCCUUUCGGGGGUUGAGAGUGGCGAACGGGUGAGUAAUGCAUCGGAACGUGCCUAGUCGUGGGGGAUAACGUAGCGAAAGUUACGCUAAUACCGCAUACGCACUGAGGUGGAAAGCGGGGGACCGUAAGGCCUCGCGCGAUUGGAGCGGCCGAUGUCGGAUUAGCUAGUUGGUGAGGUAAAGGCUCACCAAGGCGACGAUCUGUAGCGGGUCUGAGAGGAUGAUCCGCCACACUGGAACUGAGACACGGUCCAGACUCCUACGGGAGGCAGCAGUGGGGAAUUUUGGACAAUGGGCGCAAGCCUGAUCCAGCCAUGCCGCGUGAGUGAAGAAGGCCUCGGGUUGUAA